AGAGUUUGAUCAUGGCUCAGGAUGAACGCUAGCUACAGGCUUAACACAUGCAAGUCGAGGGGCAGCAUGGUCUUAGCUUGCUAAGGCCGAUGGCGACCGGCGCACGGGUGAGUAACACGUAUCCAACCUGCCGUCUACUCUUGGACAGCCUUCUGAAAGGAAGAUUAAUACAAGAUGGCAUCAUGAGUCCGCAUGUUCACAUGAUUAAAGGUAUCCCGGUAGACGAUGGGGAUGCGUUCCAUUAGAUAGUAGGCGGGGUAACGGCCCACCUAGUCUUCGAUGGAUAGGGGUUCUGAGAGGAAGGUCCCCCACAUUGGAACUGAGACACGGUCCAAACUCCUACGGGAGGCAGCAGUGAGGAAUAUUGGUCAAUGGGCGAGAGCCUGAACCAGCCAAGUAGCGUGAAGGAUGACUGCCCUAUGGGUUGUAAACUUCUUUUAUAAAGGAAUAAAGUCGGGUAUGCAUACCCGCUUGCAUGUACUUUAUGAAUAAGGAUCGGCUAACUCCGUGCCAGCAGCCGCGGUAAUACGGAGGAUCCGAGCGUUAUCCGGAUUUAUUGGGUUUAAAGGGAGCGUAGAUGGAUGUUUAAGUCAGUUGUGAAAGUUUGCGGCUCAACCGUAAAAUUGCAGUUGAUACUGGAUAUCUUGAGUGCAGUUGAGGCAGGCGGAAUUCGUGGUGUAGCGGUGAAAUGCUUAGAUAUCACGAAGAACUCCGAUUGCGAAGGCAGCCUGCUAAGCUGCAACUGACAUUGAGGCUCGAAAGUGUGGGUAUCAAACAGGAUUAGAUACCCUGGUAGUCCACACGGUAAACGAUGAAUACUCGCUGUUUGCGAUAUACAGCAAGCGGCCAAGCGAAAGCGUUAAGUAUUCCACCUGGGGAGUACGCCGGCAACGGUGAAACUCAAAGGAAUUGACGGGGGCCCGCACAAGCGGAGGAACAUGUGGUUUAAUUCGAUGAUACGCGAGGAACCUUACCCGGGCUUAAAUUGCAGAUGAAUUACGGUGAAAGCCGUAAGCCGCAAGGCAUCUGUGAAGGUGCUGCAUGGUUGUCGUCAGCUCGUGCCGUGAGGUGUCGGCUUAAGUGCCAUAACGAGCGCAACCCUUGUUGUCAGUUACUAACAGGUCAUGCUGAGGACUCUGACAAGACUGCCAUCGUAAGAUGUGAGGAAGGUGGGGAUGACGUCAAAUCAGCACGGCCCUUACGUCCGGGGCUACACACGUGUUACAAUGGGGGGUACAGAGGGCCGCUACCACGCGAGUGGAUGCCAAUCCCCAAAACCUCUCUCAGUUCGGACUGGAGUCUGCAACCCGACUCCACGAAGCUGGAUUCGCUAGUAAUCGCGCAUCAGCCACGGCGCGGUGAAUACGUUCCCGGGCCUUGUACACACCGCCCGUCAAGCCAUGGGAGCCGGGGGUACCUGAAGUGCGUAACCGCGAGGAGCGCCCUAGGGUAAAGCUGGUGACUGGGGCUAAGUCGUAACAAGGUA
rnacentral:rRNA from 1 species